AAUGACGCCUGGCAACUGCUCCUUGACAGCGCUGCCCCUCGACCAGCCGAGGCAGUUCCCUGCUUCAGCUCAGAAUGAGUCCGCUCUGGAGCUGAGUGCCUGACCAAAAAGGUCGCUCCUCGAGAAGGAAGUGUUAAAGGCGCAAGAGCAGGCACUGUCAGCGGGAGACAGACCACAGGGACCCUUCCUGCACAAGGCAAAUAGGAUGUUCACUUUGCAUAGCCUGCAUAGAGAAGUGCCAAAUGAAGUCAGUUUGAGUGAGACAAAACCAAAACCACUGGCGAUGUUCCUUCAAGCCUAAGCUGAAGGUCCAUUCCACAGAAGCACCCCUCUGGGUUAGAGGAGAAGCCCACCCUGGUAAAAUCAAAGCAGGGAUUCUACACAUGACCACGGCGAAGGGUUGGUUGGGUUGGGUUCAG
rnacentral:lncRNA from 1 species